CAAAAAUCCAGUCCGAAUCGCAAGAGCGGGGGAUUCUUUUCUGGGGUGAAUCGCGGCAUAUCGCUGCGUAGGGAAAUCCUUCAACCGAACCCGACAACUAACCUCGUAGGACGCUGAAGGAGUUAUC
rnacentral:sRNA from 1 species